rnacentral:lncRNA from 1 species
GGGUGAUCACUUGAUUGCAAGGCCCUUUCUUUAUCCUAUUAUUUUGACCUGGUGCCUAACAAUCCUCCCCCUCGUCAGGGAAUGAUCGUCCACGAUCAUACUUAGGCCACCAUCCGGUCACCAUGGUCCUUCUCUUAGGGUCUACCAAACCUUGGUUCUCCCUCUAGAUCCAUCAUGUUGAAUAUUCCUUUAGAAUAUUCUGCCCCACUCGUCAGCCACGAGAAUCGAACUGGGCUCCGAUACCAAUGUUAGGAUCCUAUCCCUUACACCCUAAGCCAACUGGCUAAAGGGGUGAUCAC